rnacentral:ncRNA from 1 species
UCUUAUCCAGAGAGGUGGAGGGACUGGCCCUUAGAAACCUCAGCAACAGAUCUGAAGGAUACUGUGCUAAUUCCAGCGGGUGAAAGCCUGAUAGAUAG